rnacentral:rRNA from 1 species
AUUGAACGCUGGCGGCAUGCUUUACACAUGCAAGUCGAACGGUAACAGGCCUUCGGGUGCUGACGAGUGGCGCACGGGUGAGUAAUGCAUCGGAACGUGCCCAGAGGUGGGGGAUAACGCAGCGAAAGCUGUGCUAAUACCGCAUGUGAUCUGAGGAUGAAAGCGGGGGACCAGGCAGCAAUGUUUGGCCUCGCGCCUUUGGAGCGGCCGAUGUCAGAUUAGGUAGUUGGUGGGGUAAAGGCCUACCAAGCCGACGAUCUGUAGCUGGUCUGAGAGGACGACCAGCCACACUGGGACUGGGACACGGCCCAGACUCCUACGGGAGGCAGCAGUGGGGAAUUUUGGACAAUGGGCGCAAGCCUGAUCCAGCAAUGCCGCGUGCGGGAAGAAGGCCUUCGGGUUGUAAACCGCUUUUGUACGGAACGAAAAGGCUCUGGCUAAUACCUGGGGCUGAUGACGGUACCGUAAGAAUAAGCACCGGCUAACUACGUG